rnacentral:rRNA from 1 species
UCAAGAUUAGCCAUGCAUGUCUAAGUAUAAGCAAUUAUACCGUGAAACUGCGAAUGGCUCAUUAAAUCAGUUAUCGUUUAUUUGAUAGUACCUUACUACUUGGAUAACCCGUGGUAAUUCUAGAGCUAAUACAUGCUAAAAACCCCGACUUCGGGAGGGGUGUAUUUAUUAGAUAAAAAACCAAUGCCCUUCGGGGCUCUUUGGUGAUUCAUGAUAACUUAACGGAUCGCAUGGCCUUGCGCCGGCGACGGUUCAUUCAAAUUUCUGCCCUAUCAACUUUCGAUGGUAAGGUAUUGGCUUACCAUGGUUUCAACGGGUAACGGGGAAUUAGGGUUCGAUUCCGGAGAGGGAGCCUGAGAAACGGCUACCACAUCCAAGGAAGGCAGCAGGCGCGCAAAUUACCCAAUCCCGACUCGGGGAGGUAGUGACAAUAAAUACUGAUACAGGGCUCUUUUGGGUCUUGUAAUCGGAAUGAGUACAAUUUAAACCCCUUAACGAGGAACAAUUGGAGGGCAAGUCUGGUGCCAGCAGCCGCGGUAAUUCCAGCUCCAAUAGCGUAUAUUAAAGUUGUUGCAGUUAAAAAGCUCGUAGUUGAACCUUGGGCCUGGCUGGCCGGUCCGCCUCACCGCGUGUACUGGUCCGGCCGGGCCUUUCCUUCUGGAGAGCCGCAUGCCCUUCACUGGGUGUGUUGGGGAACCAGGACUUUUACUUUGAAAAAAUUAGAGUGUUCAAAGCAGGCCUUUGCUCGAAUACGUUAGCAUGGAAUAAUAGAAUAGGACGUGCGGUCCUAUUUUGUUGGUUUCUAGGACCGCCGUAAUGAUUAAUAGGGAUAGUCGGGGGCAUCAGUAUUCAAUUGUCAGAGGUGAAAUUCUUGGAUUUAUUGAAGACUAACUACUGCGAAAGCAUUUGCCAAGGAUGUUUUCAUUAAUCAGUGAACGAAAGUUAGGGGAUCGAAGACGAUCAGAUACCGUCGUAGUCUUAACCGUAAACUAUGCCGACUAGGGAUCGGGCGAUGUUUCUAUCUUGACUCGCUCGGCACCUUACGAGAAAUCAAAGUUUUUGGGNUCUGGGGGNGGAGUAUGGUCGGCAAGGCUGAACUAG